AUUGCACGCUAGCGGGAUGCCUUACACAUGCACGUCGAACGGAGUGGCGAACGGGUGAGUAAUGUCUCGGAACGUGCCCAGUAGCGGGGGAUAACUACGCGAAAGCGUAGCUAAUAACACAUACUAUUGGAGCGGCCGAUAGCGGAUUAGCUAGUUGGGGGGGUAACGGCUCACCAAGGCGACGAUCCGUAGCUGGUUUGAGCGGACGACCAGCCACACUGGGACUGAGACACGGCCCAGACGCCUACGGGAGGCAGCAGUGGGGAAUGUUGGACAAUGGGGGAAACUCUGACUCAGCCAUCCCGCGUGGGUGAUGAAGGCCUUCGGGUUGGAAAGCACGUUUGGCAGGAAAGCGGUACCUGCAGAAUAAGCAACGGCUAACUACGUGCCAGCAGCCGCGGUAAUAC
rnacentral:rRNA from 1 species